GCUUAAUGGCAGUCUUCAGUAUGGGGAGCAAACAGCUAUGGGUCAAGCCUGAUACCUUUAAGAGAAGUCUUAUUGUGAGGGCGAGUUGUAAAACACCAUAGGGCUGGCCGUCCCAUAUGAAAAGAUUUUAUUAGAAUUGAAUGAAACUUUGUUUAUAUAUUGAUAAUGACAGUAUAUAUAUCGUGUCUUGACUAAUUGCGUGCCAGCAGUCGCGGUAAUACGUAAGAGACUAGUGUUAUUCAUCUUAAUUAGGUUUAAAGGGUACCCAGACGGUCUAUAUAGCUUAUAAAAUGUUAGUAUAAGACUAGAGUUUUAUGUAAGAGGGCAGUACUUGAGGAGGAGAGAUGAAAUUUCGUGAUACCAAAGGGACUCUGUAAAGGCGAAGGCAGCCCUCUAUGUAAAAACUGACGUUGAAGGACGAAGGCACAGAGAACAAACAGGAUUAGAUACCCAAGUAGUCUUUGCAGUAAAUGAUGAAUGCCAUAGGUUAGAUACUUAAUGUGAGUAAAUCCCUCUAUACUCAAAAAAAUAUUUGGUCUAUAAAUGAAAGUGUAAGCAUUUCACCUCAAGAGUAAUGC
rnacentral:rRNA from 1 species